rnacentral:rRNA from 1 species
CGUGCUAAUCUGCGAUAAGCGCCGGUAAGGUGAUAUGAACCGUUAUAACCGGCGAUUUCCGAAUGGGGAAACCCAGUGUGACUCGUCACACUAUCAUUAACUGAAUCCAUAGGUUAAUGAGGCGAACCGGGGGAACUGAAACAUCUAAGUACCCCGAGGAAAAGAAAUCAACCGAGAUUCCCCCAGUAGCGGCGAGCGAACGGGGAGGAGCCCAGAGCCUGAAUCAGCAUGUGUGUUAGUGGAAGCGUCUGGAAAGGCGCGCGAUACAGGGUGACAGCCCCGUACACAAAAGCGCAUAUGCUGUGAGCUCGAUGAGUAGGGCGGGACACGUGGUAUCCUGUCUGAAUAUGGGGGGACCAUCCUCCAAGGCUAAAUACUCCUGACUGACCGAUAGUGAACCAGUACCGUGAGGGAAAGGCGAAAAGAACCCCGGCGAGGGGAGUGAAAAAGAACCUGAAACCGUGUACGUACAAGCAGUGGGAGCCCCACCACUAAGCCAGUGGUGAACUCCACAUACGCAUCCUUUGCUGAGGAUACGGUUAACGGAGCGAAAGCGACGUUCAACCGCAAAAGAAGCAGAGGGGGCUUAGUGGUGGGGUGACUGCGUACCUUUUGUAUAAUGGGUCAGCGACUUAUAUUCUGUAGCAAGGUUAACCGAAUAGGGGAGCCGGAGGGAAACCGAGUCUUAACCGGGCGUUAAGUUGCAGGGUAUAGACCCGAAACCCGGUGAUCUAGCCAUGGGCAGGUUGAAGGUUGGGUAACACUAACUGGAGGACCGAACCGACUAAUGUUGAAAAAUUAGCGGAUGACCUGUGGCUGGGGGUGAAAGGCCAAUCAAACCGGGAGAUAGCUGGUUCUCCCCGAAAGCUAUUUAGGUAGCGCCUCGUGAAUUCAUCUCCGGGGGUAGAGCACUGUUUCGGCUAGGGGGCCAUCCCGGCUUACCAACCCGAUGCAAACUGCGAAUACCGGAGAAUGUUAUCACGGGAGACACACGGCGGGUGCUAACGUCCGUCGUGAAGAGGGAAACAACCCAGACCGCCAGCUAAGGUCCCAAAGUCAUGGUUAAGUGGGAAACGAUGUGGGAAGGCCCAGACAGCCAGGAUGUUGGCUUAGAAGCAGCCAUCAUUUAAAGAAAGCGUAAUAGCUCACUGGUCGAGUCGGCCUGCGCGGAAGAUGUAACGGGGCUAAACCAUGCACCGAAGCUGCGGCAGCGACGCUGAUGCGUUGUUGGGUAGGGGAGCGUUCUGUAAGCCUGUGAAGGUGGCCUGUGAGGGUUGCUGGAGGUAUCAGAAGUGCGAAUGCUGACAUAAGUAACGAUAAAGCGGGUGAAAAGCCCGCUCGCCGGAAGACCAAGGGUUCCUGUCCAACGUUAAUCGGGGCAGGGUGAGUCGACCCCUAAGGCGAGGCCGAAAGGCGUAGUCGAUGGGAAACGGGUUAAUAUUCCCGUACUUGGUGUUACUGCGAAGGGGGGACGGAGAAGGCUAUGUUGGCCGGGCGACGGUUGUCCCGGUUUAAGCGUGUAGGUGUGUGUUCCAGGUAAAUCCGGUUCACUUUAACACUGAGGCGUGAUGACGAGGCACUACGGUGCUGAAGCAACAAAUGCCCUGCUUCCAGGAAAAGCCUCUAAGCAUCAGGUAACAUCAAAUC